rnacentral:rRNA from 1 species
GACGAACGCUGGCGGCGUGCUUAAUACAUGCAAGUAGAACGCUGAAACCCUGGUGCUUGCACCGAGCGGAUGAGUUGCGAACGGGUGAGUAACGCGUAGGUAACCUGCCUGGUAGCGGGGGAUAACUAUUGGAAACGAUAGCUAAUACCGCAUAAGAGUAGAUAUUGCAUGACAUUUGCUUAAAAGGUGCAAUUGCAUCACUACCAGAUGGACCUGCGUUGUAUUAGCUAGUUGGUGAGGUAACGGCUCACCAAGGCAACGAUACAUAGCCGACCUGAGAGGGUGAUCGGCCACACUGGGACUGAGACACGGCCCAGACUCCUACGGGAGGCAGCAGUAGGGAAUCUUCGGCAAUGGACGGAAGUCUGACCGAGCAACGCCGCGUGAGUGAAGAAGGUUUUCGGAUCGUAAAGCUCUGUUGUAAGAGAAGAACGAGUGUGAGAGUGGAAAGUUCACACUGUGACGGUAUCUUACCAGAAAGGGACGGCUAACUACGUGCCAGCAGCCGCGGUAAUACGUAGGUCCCGAGCGUUGUCCGGAUUUAUUGGGCGUAAAGCGAGCGCAGGCGGUUAGAUAAGUCUGAAGUUAAAGGCUGUGGCUUAACCAUAGUACGCUUUGGAAACUGUUUAACUUGAGUGCAAGAGGGGAGAGUGGAAUUCCAUGUGUAGCGGUGAAAUGCGUAGAUAUAUGGAGGAACACCGGUGGCGAAAGCGGCUCUCUGGCUUGUAACUGACGCUGAGGCUCGAAAGCGUGGGGAGCAAACAGG